rnacentral:rRNA from 1 species
GGAUUGUAGUCUGCAACUCGACUACAUGAAGCUGGAAUCGCUGUAAUCGCGAAUCAGAAUGUCGCGGUGAAUACGUUCCCGGGUCUUGUACACACCGCCCGUCACACCAUGGGAGUCAGUAACGCCCGAAGUCAGUGACCCAACCAAUCAGGAGGGAGCUGCCGAAGGUGGGACCGAUAACUGGGGUGAAGUCGUAACAAGGUAGC